GCUUCGGUAGCUCGGUGGUAAGAGCGACGAGCUAGCAACCCGGGGCUCGCUCGUUCGAAUCUCCGCCUCGGAUA